rfam:Haemonchus placei strain MHpl1 genome assembly, scaffold: HPLM_scaffold0004461
GGCCCAAAUUUGUAGUAGUGUAGAUUAGUAAGAUCGGCUGACCCUACUAAACUACUCCUUUUCAAGUUUGUGCCC